AAAAUUUUGGUGAUGAUUGCCCAACUCUGUGAAUGCACUAAAAGCUGUUGAAUCAUACACUUUAAAUGGGGGAAUUCAAUGAUGUGUGAAGUACAUCUUGACAGCUGUUUUUUUUUUUUUUAAAGGUAUUCCCACAAAAAAACCUCAAGCCCAGCAGAUUUUAGUGGGAAAUUUCUCUAAAUAUUAAAGGAAGAAGUAACACCAAUCUACCCAAAUUCAUGAGAAAGAGGGAUUAUUUCCAAACCUCUUUUAGGAAGUUAACAUAACCAAAUUGAUACCAAGUCUGUCAUAACAUUAUAAUUAUAAUAAAAGGAAAUUAUAGCUCAAUAUCCCUAAUAAACAUAGGUGUAAAAAUUCUAAACAAAAUGUCAAAUCGAAUCUACUGAUAUAAGAAAAGAAUAGCACAUCAUGACCAAAUGAGGUUUAUUUUUCAGGAGUGCAAAGUUGUUUUAACAUUUUAAAGUCAAUUUAUACAGUUUGUUGUAUUACUAGGAUAAAAGAGAUAAAAUAUGAUAAUUCAAACAGCUGAUAAAAUUCAGCAUCCAUUUAUGUUGGUCAAUCUCAACAUCUGCUUUGACUUUUCCUUUUUCCUGUGAGAAAUUAAGGAGAUAAUGCUAAUUUCCUGCCUGCAUAAGUUCAGAAGUCAGGUAGGUUGGUUAUCUAAUAUAAAUGUGUCACUUUAUUUUUCAAGUAACUGCAUAAACUACAGAUUUGGGGAUGACACAAAGAUCCAGUUUUUAACUAAGUGUGUGCUGUAUAGGUCUGGUCUGGGUGGUGUUUUCUUACAUUGCUUUAUCACAGGUUUGGAAAGAGACUGAAGCCUAAUAGUAGUGGUGGAGAACUUACUGCUUCAGGGAACUUUCCUUCUGGGAACUCAUUAUUUAGUUCGGUUAAACCCCAUUAAAAAAGUGCUGCUGACUGGCAAAUGUGCAAAUUCACAUUAUUAUGUUUUGAAAGCCCAAGAGAUAGCACAUAGUAUGGGAGAAGAAAAUUGGUUAGUAUGUCAGUGUUUCAAACCAAGUCAUAUUGCUUUUGGGGUUUUCUUUUGGUUUUUUUUGUUUGUUUGUUUUACUCCUGGACAAAUUUAGAAACCUUUGUCCCCAUUAUUGUACCCCUAAUUGAAGAAUUAUGAUUUCCCAGUUCAAUGCAGUCUAAUUCCACUGCCUUACUUUGGUGAAAUGACACCAUUCCCAUCAUUAAAAAGCCACAAAAUUAAAAGAUGCUUGCUUCUUAGAAAAAAACCUAUGACAAACCUAGACAACAUAUUAAAAAGCAGAGACAUCACUCUGCUGACAAAGGUCCAUAUGGUUUUUCCAGUAGUCAUGUAUGGAUUUGAGAAGUUGGACACGACUGACCGACUGAAUACCACCACCACUCCCAGUCGCCAGGAGCAAAGACAGUUCAGCAGUCUUUGUUGAUGGCAGUUGUAGAUUCUGCCUGGUCUACUGGACCAGCAUAGACCAGUUUCAGAGGCAACUUUGAAAGACUUUUUGACUCUUCACAUUAUUUAGAGUUUUUGAAUGUGUUUUAGGAAACUCUUAAUUUUGUUUCUGAACCAACAGGCUCCCAGUAGAGAUGACAGCUUAGGCUGUAUACUUUAGGCUAUGUAUACUUUAAUUUAAAAUGAAAAUCUUUGGGUCUUCAGGGCUUUGCCAAAUGUAGUCAGUGAAUGUAUAAGAAGAGCUUUGGU
rnacentral:lncRNA from 1 species